CGGGAUAAGCCUGGGAAACUGGGUCUAAUACCGGAUAUGACCUCAUGUCGCAUGGCGUGGGGUGGAAAGGUUUACUGGUGCGAGAUGGGCCCGCGGCCUAUCAGCUUGUUGGCGGGGUAACGGCCCACCAAGGCGACGACGGGUAGCCGACCUGAGAGGGUGACCGGCCACACUGGGACUGAGACACGGCCCAGACUCCUACGGGAGGCAGCAGUGGGGAAUAUUGCACAAUGGGCGAAAGCCUGAUGCAGCGACGCCGCGUGAGGGAUGACGGCCUUCGGGUUGUAAACCUCUUUCGACAGGGACGAAGCGAGAGUGACGGUACCUGUAGAAGAAGCACCGGCCAACUACGUGCCAGCAGCCGCGGUAAUACGUAGGGUGCGAGCGUUGUCCGGAAUUACUGGGCGUAAAGAGCUUGUAGGCGGUCUGUCGCGUCUUCUGUGAAAACUUGGGGCUCAACCUUAAGCUUGCAGGCGAUACGGGCAGACUAGAGUACUUCAGGGGAGACUGGAAUUCCUGGUGUAGCGGUGAAAUGCGCAGAUAUCAGGAGGAACACCGGUGGCGAAGGCGGGUCUCUGGGAAGUAACUGACGCUGAGAAGCGAAAGCGUGGGUAGCGAACAGGAUUAGAUACCCUGGUAGUCCACGCCGUAAACGGUGGGUACUAGGUGUGGGUUUCCUUCCACGGGAUCCGUGCCGUAGCUAACGCAUUAAGUACCCCGCCUGGGGAGUACGGCCGCAAGGCUAAAACUCAAAGGAAUUGACGGGGGCCCGCACAAGCGG
rnacentral:rRNA from 1 species